rnacentral:rRNA from 1 species
GAUGAACGCUGGCGGCGUGCCUAAUACAUGCAAGUCGAGCGAACAGACGAGGAGCUUGCUCCUCUGACGUUAGCGGCGGACGGGUGAGUAACACGUGGAUAACCUACCUAUAAGACUGGGAUAACUUCGGGAAACCGGAGCUAAUACCGGAUAAUAUAUUGAACCGCAUGGCUCAAUAGUGAAAGACGGUUUUGCUGUCACUUAUAGAUGGACCCGCGCCGCAUUAGCUAGUUGGUAAGGUAACGGCUUACCAAGGCGACGAUGCGUAGCCGACCUGAGAGGGUGAUCGGCCACACUGGAACUGAGACACGGUCCAGACUCCUACGGGAGGCAGCAGUAGGGAAUCUUCCGCAAUGGGCGAAAGCCUGACGGAGCAACGCCGCGUGAGUGAUGAAGGUCUUCGGAUCGUAAAACUCUGUUAUUAGGGAAGAACAAAUGUGUAAGUAACUAUGCACGUCUUGACGGUACCUAAUCAGAAAGCCACGGCUAACUACGUG